GCCAUCAUAGCUCAGUGGUAGAGUGCUUCAUUGGUAAUGAAGAGGUUCCGUGUUCAAUUCACGGUGGUGGCA
rnacentral:tRNA from 1 species